CCUACGGGGGGCAGCAGUGGGGAAUAUUGCACAAUGGGGGAAACCCUGAUGCAGCAACGCCGCGUGAGUGAAGAAGUAUUUCGGUAUGUAAAGCUCUAUCAGCAGGGAAGAAGAAAGACGGUACCUGACUAAGAAGCCCCGGCUAACUACGUGCCAGCAGCCGCGGUAAUACGUAGGGGGCAAGCGUUAUCCGGAUUUACUGGGUGUAAAGGGAGCGUAGACGGCAUAGCAAGUCUGAAGUGAAAGGUACCGGCUCAACCGGUACAGGCUCUGGAAACUGGCGGGCUAGAGAGCAGGAGAGGGCG
rnacentral:rRNA from 1 species